GCCCCUGUAGCUCAGCCCGGCCAGAGCAGACGGCUUUUAACCGUAAUGUCGCAGGUUCGAAUCCUGCCGGGGGCACCA
rnacentral:tRNA from 1 species